UGCAAAACAUAAAUGCUGCCACCCACUC
rnacentral:piRNA from 1 species